rnacentral:rRNA from 1 species
AGCAGCCGCGGUAAUUCCAGCUCCAAUAGCGUAUAUUAAAGUUGCUGCAGUUAAAAAGCUCGUAGUUGAAUUUCGGGAUCAAUAUGUUGGUCGUGCCUCGGUACGUACUAGCUUAUUGGUUUCUCCCUUCUGACGAACCAUGAUGUCAUUUAUUUGGUGUUAUGGGAAAUCAGGACUGUUACUUUGAAAAAAUUAGAGUGUUUAAAGCAGGCUCACGCUUGAAUACAUUAGCAUGGAAUAAUGAAAUAGGACGUUUGAUUCUAUUUUGUUGGUUUCUAGGAUCGACGUAAUGAUUAAUAGGGAUAGUUGGGGGCAUUAGUAUUCAAUUGUCAGAGGUGAAAUUCUUGGAUUUAUUGAAGACUAACUACUGCGAAAGCAUUUGCCAAGGAUGUUUUCAUUAAUCAAGAACGAAAGUUAGGGGAUCGAAGACGAUCAGAUACCGUCGUAGUCUUAACCAUAAACUAUGCCGACUAGGGAUCGGAUGAUGUUAAUUUUUAAUGACUCAUUCGGCGCCUUAAC